rnacentral:rRNA from 1 species
GACGAACGCUGGCGGCGUGCUUAACACAUGCAAGUCGAACGGAAAGGCCCUGCUUUUGUGGGGUGCUCGAGUGGCGAACGGGUGAGUAACACGUGAGUAACCUGCCCUUGACUUUGGGGUAACUUCAGGAAACUGGGGCUAAUACCGGAUAGGAGCUCCUGCUGCAUGGUGGGGGUUGGAAAGUUUCGGCGGUUGGGGAUGGACUCGCGGCUUAUCCGCUUGUUGGUGGGGUAGUGGCUUACCAAGGCUUUGACGGGUAGCCGGCCUGAGAGGGUGACCGGCCACAUUGGGACUGAGAUACGGCCCAGACUCCUACGGGAGGCAGCAGUGGGGAAUAUUGCACAAUGGGCGGAAGCCUGAUGCAGCAACGCCGCGUGCGGGAUGACGGCCUUCGGGUUGUAAACCGCUUUCGCCUGUGACGAAGCGUGAGUGACGGUAAUGGGUAAAGAAGCACCGGCUAACUACGUG